GCGGGAUGCUGAUUAUAGGGCUGGGUCCCGCAGCCCUGGAUGUGGGUGCAAGAAGCUGUGUACGCACUUGACUGUCAAGAAGUCACAGGUAGGCAGAGAGAGAGAAGGAAGCAGGCUCCCCGCCGAGCAGAGAGCCCGAUGUGGGGCUCGAUCCCAGGACCCUGGAACCAUGACCUGAGCCGAAGGCAGAGGCCUCAACCCACUGAGCCACC
rnacentral:lncRNA from 1 species